AAAACACCCCACAAAAAACCACUCCUAUCAAUCCCCUCUAGGACACAGCGCCACCAUCGUGCGAUCUCGAGGUCACAGCGUCGUGCGAUCUGCGAACUGACGCAGACGCAGAAGAACGCCACCGCUGCCGAUCUCAGUGAGAAGACCCCGCCGGAUCUCACCUCCACGUUACGGGAUCGCCACCACGGUUUUGAAUCGCCGUCGCGGACGUAAGAGGUCACGUCGGCGCCGCCGCGGACGUAAGAGGUCACGUCGGCGCCGCCGCGGAUCCCCAUGGGCGUGGUCGCGUUGCCGUGAUUGGAGGAGACCGUCCCGGCCUUCCCUGUUUGGAGGAUGAACAGAGGUAUUUCGAGGCCCACGUACGUCAAUCCCCACCUCCGCUUUCCUCCUUUCCCAUCGAGGGCUGCCGCUGCUGCUCCAUCUUCUAUCUCUUGGCUCUCUCUGAAUGGUGGCGAUGGUGGUCGGGGGCUCCGAUGCGGAUGCCCGCAAGGGGGAAACGGAAGGUGGCGGAGGAGCGAAGGCCAUGGCCGAGAAGCAGGUUAGGCACUGCCAUAUGGACAGGAAAGCAGGCACUUGGAGAUACCUAGGAAAUCGGGAGGGGCUGAGCAGGAGGCCAAGGGCGUCGCCAAGGUCUUCGGCGUCCAGCCGUCCACUCCUUGAGAUUGAUGGAUGCACUUCGUAUAGAACUGAAGAUUAAGAGGAAGAGAAACAUUAGGCGCAGGAAGAAGAAGGAAGUGUACAAGACCACGACCACUGAUGACAAGAGACUUCAAAGCACUUUGAAAAGAGUAGGAGUCAACACCAUUCCUGGUGUUGAAGAGGCCAACAUUUACAAGUGCAAGCUUCACCUCACGCGCUGACCUCCCAAACGAUCACUUCUCCGUCAGUCGGCGUGAAGACGUGGGCCGCGCCAGUGUGGUGCAAGUCCUCCAGUUCACCUGGCGGCGUGACACCAAGUGCCCUCAUGGCACAACUUAGGAUGCACGACGACCAUGGGAUAUAAGAAGAAAUGAGUGGAUUUGACUGUCAUCAUGGAUGGGACAUCAAGCUCGUAGGCAUAAAAAAUUCUUUGCAGUAUGACACCCAAGUGAUUCACCUGUGAUAAUAAAGCUUAGAAAAGAGAGCACGAUCCAGUAGUUGGUUGUGCAGCAGGAGAUGAUAUGACUUCAGUUCUUCUUCACAUAAACAUCUUGAUCCUUA